UACGUAGGCAGCAAGCGUUGUUCGGAAUUACUGGGCGUAAAGAGUACGUAGGUGGUUUGCCAAGUCCGAUGUGAAAUCUCCUGGCUUAACUGGGAGGGUGCGUUAGAUACUGGCAGGCUUGAAUGUGGGAGAGGAGAGCGGAAUUCCUGGUGUAGCGGUGAAAUGCGCAGAUAUCAGGAGGAACACCGGUGGCGAAGGCGGCCUUCUGGACAGUGACUGACGCUGAGACGCGAAAGCGUGGGGAGCAAACAGG
rnacentral:rRNA from 1 species